UACGAAGGGGACUAGCGUUGUUCGGAAUUACUGGGCGUAAAGCGCACGUAGGCGGAUUUGUAAGUCAGGGGUGAAAUCCCGGGGCUCAACCUCGGAACUGCCUUUGAUACUGCAAAUCUCGAGUCCGAUAGAGGUGGGUGGAAUUCCUAGUGUAGAGGUGAAAUUCGUAGAUAUUAGGAAGAACACCGGUGGCGAAGGCGGCCCACUGGAUCGGUACUGACGCUGAGGCACGAAAGCGUGGGGAG
rnacentral:rRNA from 1 species